rnacentral:rRNA from 1 species
CGAACGCUGGCGGCGUGCCUAACACAUGCAAGUCGAGCGGAGUUGACAAGAGGAAGUUUUCGGAUGGAAACUUGUUGAUUUAGCGGCGGACGGGUGAGUAACGCGUGAGCGACCAACCUUGCACAGGGGGAUAACGGACCGAAAGGUUCACUAAUACCGCAUGAGACCACGGUGUUGCAUGACACAGGGGUCAAAGGAGAAAUCCGGUGCAAGACGGGCUCGCGUCCGAUUAGGUAGUUGGUGGGGUAAUGGCUCACCAAGCCUAUGAUCGGUAGCCGACCUGAGAGGGUGAUCGGCCACAUUGGAACUGAGAAACGGUCCAAACUCCUACGGGAGGCAGCAGUGGGGAAUAUUGGGCAAUGGGGGAAACCCUGACCCAGCAACGCCGCGUGAAGGAAGAAGGUUUUCGGAUUGUAAACUUCUGUCCUUGGUGAAGAGAAGAAGACGGUAGCCGAGGAGGAAGCCCCGGCUAACUACGU